rnacentral:RNase_P_RNA from 1 species
GAUGCUGAGAGGAAAGUCCGGGCAGCUCGAGCCACCAUGCUUCCUAACGGGAAGGCACUGGUUUGGUUAUAGGUUAUAGGUUAUAGGUUAUAGAGGCUGACGCAGUCAAUUUCAAUAACUGAAAGCCAAUGGUCUAAAGCCAAUCUGGUGACAGCGAGCGCCACAGAAAACAAACCGCCUUUUAUCGUAAGGUGAGAGGUAAGGGUGAAAACGCGGGGUAAGAGCCCACGACGUGAUGCGGUGACGCACACGAUGGCAAGCCUCAUGGGCUGAAAGACCAUGUAUACCAACAUUUAAGGGCAGGCUCGCCCGUUGUUGGGGGGUAGGUUGAUAGAGACCGUCGGCGACGGCGGCCCUAGAUUAAUGAUAGAACACGACAGAACCCGGCUUACAGACCCACG